GUCUAUAUGAAGUUAUAUAAAGUCUAGUCUGCCCACUGAAUAAUUUUAACGGCCGCAGUAUAUUAACUGUGCAAAGGUAGCAUAAUCAUUAGUUUUUUAAUUGAAGGCUUGUAUGAAAGGCUGGACAAAGAAUAAUCUGUUUCUAUUUUUAUUUUUGAACCUUACUUUUAAGUGAAAAGGCUUAAAUAGUUUUAGGGGACGAUAAGACCCUAUAAAUCUUUAUAUUAAAUUAAUUUUAAUUAGUUUAUUCUGUCGAGUUAAUUAAUAAUAUAAUAUUUAUUAUAUUGGGGUGAUAAGAAUACAAUAAAAUAACUGUUCUAAAACUUAAACAAACCUAUUUGAAACUAUAAUAGAUCCUUUUUAAAGAUUAAGAGUUUAAGUUACUUUAGGGAUAACAGCGUUAUUCUUUUUGAGAGUUCCUAUCGAAAAAAGAGUUUGCGACCUCGAUGUUGAAUUAAAAUUUCUUUAUGGUGUAGUAGUUAUAGAAGAAAGUCUGUUCGACUUUU
rnacentral:rRNA from 1 species